UUCGCAUGUAUGAAAAAAGCCUUAUGUUUACAUUUGUAAGUAUCGCCCUUUUCACAAAAAAGCGUUGAAAUGAAAUCGCAGCUCCUGAUAUCACGCUAUCUCUUAAGUGCAUACGUGCAUAGUUCCAAAUUUUACUUCGACAUCGACUUUUUCUAAAGGUGACUUCCCAGUAGUAUCCUUGAUUUGAAUUAUUAUCGCUAAUCCUAAUGCCAAAGAACAAAUAAAAACCUCUCGAAAACGAACCGUUUGGGAAAAGCAUGAUCAUUACUGGAAUUUUCAUUUUCACGAAACUUUUCGAUAACCUUCCGUCACUUGCGUUAAUGCACUGGGUGCACAGUGCUCUGAAAAUCUAGCGAAAUCGCUAUCGCUAGAUCGACCAGCGGGUCUAAUUCAGAGCUAUCUGCGCGGCGAGUUAAAUCUGUAAAGAAUACUAAAAAUUAAUUUCUAGUCCAUAAUUUUCAGUUCAGCAAUUCGAGAGAUCGUGCCCACUAGAGAUGAGCAAUCCGCUCCGGAGCUGCUCCAACGAAUCGAUUCAUUUAAGUGAGCUGAUGAGCUGCAGCUCUUUUUUUAAGAACCGCAGCUCACCCGCUCACCCUACAACACCACUGAGCAAUUCUGUGCUGACCGUUUCUUCGAUUCAUGACGGAACGGGAAAAGCCAUGGGAAGAGCAGAACUGAGAGAGCGAAAGAAAAAAGAACUCAACAGCUCAUAGCGUCUCGGACUCGGAUAUACAUACAUGUGCAUCAAUCGUUCUUUGUUUGUCUGCUUGGGCCGAUCAGUCAACGAAAGUGUUUCCCUCUCGUUUUGUCUUACGAUGCGAAAACUUCUACACUGAUGAAAAUGGAUACGCUUCAUUCAAGUGGUUCAUCACUUCAUAUGCAACUUUCAGCAUCUCGAUUUCAAAUAACAAUGGUUUCAUUUCCUAAAAGUUUAAUACCAAAUACUUUAUCACAUUAACAUAAUUAACAUAAUAAUCGUAAGCUCGUAACGAUCGCACGUGUUUUUUUUUUCAUUUUUAUAUUAUGUGUUGAAAUUCUAGUGGUUCACCGUCUAUUUUCCACCCCUUUUUUACAACAGUGUAUCUCAAAUGAGUGACACUUGAAAUGUGCAUGUAAACAUUUCGAUUAAAAGUGAAGUGAGUAGAACGUUGUUUGGAUGAAACUGUGCCAGGUUUGCUGUUCGGUUAACAGUGAAACUUAUCAGAAGAAACACAACUACUCGGAGGAAUGGGUUCGAUAGUGGCCGGAAGCGUCCUCGACAUACCGGAUGCGGAACCGGGCAUUCUAGUCUACUAUCGGGUAGUGGUUCACUAUAUGGAUGAUGACUUGGUACAGCAGUUUGACGAAAACAGAAACAAUCCAGAGGUUGAAGUGAAAAGAGAAGGUGAAUUUCGCCACGGCCCACGAACAGCAUCUGCUUCCGUAUAAUCACCACGUGAACUCCCUAGCUAUCCUGGGCAUAUCGAAACCCUUGUAACUAUAGUGACUAUAGAAUGUGCUUUUUGGAAUCGGUCGAUAUAAGAAGCACUGCAAGUCGGAUACCUUCUGGUGGAAGCAAUUUCCGUAGAGUAAUGAUAUUAAUAUUAUUUAUUUUUAAUUAUUUCAAUAAAAACAAACUUUCUUUGUU